GCGAGAGUGGCGGAAUGGCAGACGCGCUAGGUUCAGGACCUAGUGGGAGCAAUCUCGUGGGGGUUCAAAUCCCUUCUCUCGCACCA
rnacentral:tRNA from 1 species